ensembl:snRNA U6 U6 spliceosomal RNA
GUGCUUGCUUUGGUAGCACAUAUACUAAAAUUGGAAUGAUACAGAGAAGAUUAACAUGGCGCCCAUGCAAGGAUGAUUCUCAAAUUUGUGAAGUGUUCCAUAUUUUA